UGCAUAAAUAUAUAUAUUGUAUAUAAAGGGCUGCCUAUAUAUAUAUAUAUACAUACACACCAUUUUUUUUUAUUCAUAAGGAGUAGAAAAAGAAGGGGAGCACCCACAACCUUUGCAGACCCUCUAAGAUUGGUGAAAUUGAUGUUAUUAACCAUUAAUGUUUUCUGCUUCAGCAUCUAUAAGACAGAAUGUAAGGGUGGGGAAAUUCAGUGAAAUAAGAUUUUGAGGAAAGAACUGCUUAGUGAAGUGUCAGUAAGUGAGACAAGAAGGAGAGAGAGAGAGAGAGAGAGAGAGAGAGAGAGAGAGAGAGAGAAAAAGAGAGAGAGAGUGAGUGAGAGUAUCAGAAAUGGUUAGUGGUAAAAGAGUGCAACAGAUAUCAAUAUGGAAUUAGAAGUAAUACUAGUUGAUAAGGAAUAGCAAGAUGGCAAUAAUAAAAGAAUGAUUGAUGUGAAUAAAAGACUGACUGGAAGGAGAAAUUGCGGUGAGUAGUAAAGGAGGGUAAAAUUGAGAGUGCAAUGGAUAACAAGAGAUCCAAUGCAAUCCUUCCUUAUCCAGGCAUUGUAAUGGAUGAGAGACAUUAAUGGCAGCUAUUUGUUUGCUGAGAGAAAAAGAAAGAGUGAGUGAGUGAUGAGUAAUUACAGGAAUGGUUUGUGAUAACAGAAUGUGAUGCUUGGCGUGGCACAGUGAAUAGGAAAGGGGUUGAGAGAGUAUCAAAUAAACAAGAGGAGCAGCAGAUGGGGUAUUAGCUGGUACAAACUGGAUGAAAGGCCCAGUUGUAGACAGAUAUCCCAGACACCAUUUCUACCCCAUUUUAAAAAUAUUUCACCAUGCUUGCACAGGUUGAUGGGUCUUCUCCAGUGCCAUAUGUCACCAAUCAACAAGGUCCUUAUCAUAAAAUAAUAAUAAAUGUCAGGUUUCACAGCCAUGCAGUAAACUGGACAAAAAAAAUGAAUCGUAACAAAAAAGUUUCAACUUGAAUGAACAUUUUUUGCCAAACCAUGUUUUAUUGAACUAGAAAACUGCUGGUGCUGCUUUUCCUAUUCUGCGAGAAGUUUCUUCAUCCUUUUGAAUAUUGUUGGAACUAUGUACAUAGACAAAGUCAUUGACAAGUUCUCUCCCACUUCUUUUUGAUCCCUAGUAAGGGAAUGAGAAUUCUCUAAAAGGGUUAAGAAAGUGUUAAUACUGUGGGAGCCAGGUAUUAUACUAGACACAUUUUGUCAAUUUUACAACAGGUCAUUUUGCAAUGGUUGGCAGAAUGCAUAGAAACCAACAGUGACUCAUACUUAAAAAAGUGAACUCCAAUCAAAAAUCUUGAUGCCCACAUAUUCCAGAUAUACCUCACUCUAGCUUCGAGUUGAUUGGAAUGAAAAAAAUAAACAAGAAGCAAAAAAAAAAUGACGAAAGAAACAUAAGUGUUUUGUGGCUAAAAUAAAAUAUUUUGGCAAACUCCAUCCACCCCAAUCAAA